rnacentral:rRNA from 1 species
UACAGAGACUGCAAGCGUUAUUCGGAUUCACUGGGCGUAAAGGGUGCGCAGGCGGUUGGGUGUGUCAGAUGUGAAAUCCCGAGGCUUAACCUCGGAACUGCGUCUGAAACUACUCGACUAGAGUACUGGAGAGGGUAACGGAAUUCACGGUGUAGCAGUGAAAAUGCGUAGAUAUCGUGAGGAACACCAGAGGCGAAGGCGGUUACCUGGACAGUUACUGACGCUCAGGCAACGGAAAAGCAUGGGGGAGCAAAAAGGG